CGCUGAGCACCGGAGAGAGCGUCUUGUGGCUGCGGCCUGCCCCUCAGCCUCCUCCGCGCGGUUACCCCUGUACCCGCCGCCAUCCGUCCUGGCGCUCCGGAUGAGUCAAUGAGGGGCAGGGCCCGAGGAGUGGUCUUCCCAAGAACCCCUGGUGGCCUCCCAAGGCCGGUGCUGUGUACCUCCUCCCCGACAAAAGGGGAAACUGAGGCCCCGAGGGGAGUGGGAAGAGCCGGCUGGACGUCAGGCCCAGCCGCUGGUGCAGUGGUCCGUCCCCUCCGCCGGGGUGGGCCCCUCGGGUUUCGCGUGUCCUCGGGAAAGAGACUGGCGGGUGAGCCGCGCCCUCGGCCUUCGCUGGGCUAAGCCGACCCCAUGCGGACGUCAAACCCCCCCAGGUCGGCACAACCUCUCUGCGGGGAGGCUUAGUGCCCCCUUGAGAAACGGCUUGGCAACGCUGUGCCCGGGGCCUUGCACGCGGGCUGAGGGGGGCUAGAGACCUCGCGACUUUUACUCCCCCGACCCCGAUCUCCGACUCCUGACUUUGGAAGCCCCCAAAGCUGCUUUUCGGUUGCCUACAAAGUGUCGGUCAUUGUGCCACGUCCUUGGAACCGUGAACUCAUUUUCUCCUCAAUAACCUUUAAAAAGUAGCUGUAAAACCUCCAUUUUACAGACCAGUUGGCUGAGGUUUAAAUGGAGGACGCUCCCAGGGCCCCAGAGGGGCGAAUUCCAGACUCCUUUGCCAGGACCUUGUACUAAGCCCCUUCCCUACGCUUUUCCCUGCCUAGGCCUCGUGGGCUGUGCGGCUAUCCUGGAGACAGAUGACAGCUCUCCCUUGGAUGGCUUUGCUGGUUCCGCACCAGCCAGCGCCCCUAUUUUUCCUGCAGCACCCUGAUCUGCACUCCCUGAGGGGCUCCCACUGUCCGCGGUGUGAGGAUGUCCCUGGAUAGUCCACUGUGUGCAGAGGCAUGGGAGUUGUCAUGUCGAGAACAUGCUAGACCUCAGUGUCCUUGAGGGAUGCCGCCUUGGGUCUGGAAAUUGUUAGAGGAAACCCCAAGAGGUGCAGGCACUGAGCCUCUCAGGACAAUGACCUGGGGUCCCAGCUCCCCUGGAGGGGCCUCCUCAUGAUUGUUUGGGGCUUGAUCACAGACCAAGAGUGACGAGUGAUGUCACCCUGUGACUCAUGGCCGGACCUUCUUGCCCCUAUUGUCUCAGCACAACAUUAUUUGACUUUUCCCUCAGCGUGGGUGGGCAGAGGAAAAGCCCUGUGGCUCUGGGGACUUGGGAUCCGGAGUUGAAGACCCUUCAGCUGGCUCUGCCCUGCCAGUGCCACAGAGUGCCAUGGCCCAGGAAGACAGGUUUUCUUCCAUCUAGGCCAGGCCAUCCAGUGGCCAUCCUCCGUGUCCUCCCGCCUCCUCCUGGUGUGACUUCUGAAAACCAAGAAUUUGUUCCUGUUGACUUUUUCUGUGCUAUGGACCAUUGUCCUCUCACCCACUCAAUAAAUCUUGAAACAUGC
rnacentral:sRNA from 1 species